rnacentral:rRNA from 1 species
CACGUAGGGUGCGAGCGUUGUCCGGAAUUAUUGGGCGUAAAGAGCUCGUAGGCGGUGUGUCGCGUCGGCCGUGAAAACCUGCAGCUUAACUGUGGGCUUGCGGUCGAUACGGGCAUCACUGGAGUUCGGCAGGGGAGACUGGAAUUCCUGGUGUAGCGGUGAAAUGCGCAGAUAUCAGGAGGAACACCGGUGGCGAAGGCGGGUCUCUGGGCCGAUACUGACGCUGAGGCAUGAAAGCGUGGGUAGCAAACAGG